rnacentral:rRNA from 1 species
CGUACACUCCUACGGGAGGCAGCAGUGGGGAAUAUUGCACAAUGGGCGCAAGCCUGAUGCAGCCAUGCCGCGUGUAUGAAGAAGGCCUUCGGGUUGUAAAGUACUUUCAGCGGGGAGGAAGGCAAUACGGUUAAUAACCGUGUUGAUUGACGUUACCCGCAGAAGAAGCACCGGCUAACUCCGUGCCAGCAGCCGCGGUAAUACGGAGGGUGCAAGCGUUAAUCGGAAUUACUGGGCGUAAAGCGCACGCAGGCGGUCUGUCAAGUCGGAUGUGAAAUCCCCGGGCUCAACCUGGGAACUGCAUUCGAAACUGGCAGGCUUGAGUCUUGUAGAGGGGGGUAGAAUUCCAGGUGUAGCGGUGAAAUGCGUAGAGAUCUGGAGGAAUACCGGUGGCGAAGGCGGCCCCCUGGACAAAGACUGACGCUCAGGUGCGAAAGCGUGGGGAGCAAACAGGAUUAGAAACCCUGGUAGUCCCA